UGCGUAGGCGGUUAGAUAAGUCAGAGGUGAGAGCCCGCAGCUCAACUGUGGAAUUGCCUUUGAUACUGUUUGAUUUGAAUCAAGUUGAGGUUGGCGGAAUGUGACAUGUAGCGGUGAAAUGCAUAGAUAUGUCAUAGAACACCAAUUGCGAAGGCAGCUAACUAGACUUGUAUUGACGCUGAGGCACGAAAGCGUGGGGAGCGAACAGGAUUAGAUACCCUGGUAGUCC
rnacentral:rRNA from 1 species